AUUGAACGCUGGCGGCAGGCCUAACACAUGCAAGUCGAACGGUAGCACAGAGAGCUUGCUCUCGGGUGACGAGUGGCGGACGGGUGAGUAACGUCUGGGAAACUGCCCGAUGGAGGGGGAUAACUACUGGAAACGGUAGCUAAUACCGCAUAACGUCGCAAGACCAAAGUGGGGGACCUUCGGGCCUCACACCAUCGGAUGUGCGCAGAUGGGAUUAGCUAGUAGGUGGGGUAAUGGCUCACCUAGGCGACGAUCCCUAGCUGGCCUGAGAGGAUGACCAGCCACACUGGAACUGAGACACGGUCCAGACUCCUACGGGAGGCAGCAGUGGGGAAUAUUGCACAAUGGGCGCAAGCCUGAUGCAGCCAUGCCGCGUGUAUGAAGAAGGCCUUCGGGUUGUAAAGUACUUUCAGCGGGGAGGAAGGCGGUGAAGUUAAUAGCUUCACCGAUUGACGUUACCCGCAGAAGAAGCACCGGCUAACUCCGUGCCAGCCGCCGCAGUAA
rnacentral:rRNA from 1 species